AUUGAACGCUGGCGGCAGGCCUAACACAUGCAAGUCGAGCGGAUGACGGGAGCUUGCUCCUUGAUUCAGCGGCGGACGGGUGAGUAAUGCCUAGGAAUCUGCCUGGUAGUGGGGGACAACGUUUCGAAAGGAACGCUAAUACCGCAUACGUCCUACGGGAGAAAGCAGGGGACCUUCGGGCCUUGCGCUAUCAGAUGAACCUAGGUCGGAUUAGCUAGUUGGUGGGGUAAUGGCUCACCAAGGCGACGAUCCGUAACUGGUCUGAGAGGAUGAUCAGUCACACUGGAACUGAGACACGGUCCAGACUCCUACGGGAGGCAGCAGUGGGGAAUAUUGGACAAUGGGCGAAAGCCUGAUCCAGCCAUGCCGCGUGUGUGAAGAAGGUCUUCGGAUUGUAAAGCACUUUAAGUUGGGAGGAAGGGCAGUAAGCUAAUACCCUGCUGUUUUGACGUUACCGACAGAAUAAGCACCGGCUAACUCUGUGCCAGCCGCCGCGGUAAAAC
rnacentral:rRNA from 1 species